rnacentral:lncRNA from 1 species
AGCAGGGUGGGGAUCAGAGCAUGGAAAAUUACUAAGAGGAAACAUCAGGGGUGUUGGGGGAAAUCUUCAAGAGGAUGUGACUGCUGGUUGACCCCUGAGCUGGACCUGGGCAACUGGAGGAUCCCCAGCCCCCACCUUGGAAUGUGCAUUCCACUUGCCUUCCCCACUCCCUGAAGCUGCCCUGAGGACACAGCCUGAGAGAGCACUGUGGCGGUGAGACCAUCUGGAUGGUAUACGUCACUGAGCCCAGUUAAGGCCUCUAUACAAACUGUAAGAUUUUGACGGGUGGGUGUGGAAAACUGCUCGUCUCGCGGCCGCCCAAGACAAGCCUCAUAAUGCUGCAAUGAAUUAUCCUGUUUUCAAAAUGUGGUUCACUUGGAUCCAGACGAGCCUGGGUUGGCGAGACGAGAGAGCUGUGCCGUCGCUGUGCUCAGAGGCCUGGCGCGCAUGACUCACUGGCUCCAAGAUUAGUCACCCCCUCCCCCAAACACCCAAUGGCAAAAACAGAUCAUUUCGGGAGCACUGGGGAUGCACCAUCGCAGGCCACCAUCUGAGGCCACCAUCUGAGGAGGCCGCCAGGCUCGGGAAAACCCAACCCAGUCCUGCUAAGAGAAUGACUCCAAGGAACUCCCAAGCCUGUUUGACUAAGGCAAGACUAAUUACUGUAAUUAGCUGACUGCACAAUUAGAAGUGAUUAAGCGCAUUACAGAAGAGGCUCGGCUCCCACAACUGGAAACCUCCCAGCGCAGCCCGUUAGCAAGACAGGCAAUGGAGACUUCUCUUUAAAUUCACCGAAACGUAGCAGCGGUUCCCAGAUCUGGGAAGCAGCAGCAUGCUGGACGCCGGGACCAGGAGCAAGCCAGCACCGCUCCCUUCCGAGAACCUAGAACCACGAGUGAGAGCGCGAGGCUGCGCGAAGAGGAGUUUAGAAAAGCGAGCAGCUGCGGGCCGAGGAGGAGCCACAGAGACCUGGGGACUUGGAUGGCCCCAGACUGACUAGAGACCAGGGGUCCCUGCUUGCAUGUCAAAGACUGACCCCAUCCUCUACCUGGGGCUGUAUAAGCCUUUGGGUUUGGGGACAAUUAAGGAGUGAAGGAGCCCCAUGGAGGAGAUACUGAGCUUCCUGCUCAUCAGGCAAAUGGGGAAUUAAGCCAGUUUUCUUUAUGGGAGAAAAUGUAAAAAGACAGGAUCACCUUGCACCCUCUCUUUGUGGGUCAGUUCAUCCUACUGACUCAGGUAUCACCCGGACUCUGAGAUAUCUUUGCACUGGGGUAACAUCUCCCACCUUAGCAGCAACUUCUAGAACCUGUGCUCCAACCAACCUGGGCUGCCUCCUUUCUCCAACUGCCCCUUGGCCUUCUGCCUCUGGGGCUUUGCUCUUACUGCCCCCUGGCCUCCAGUGCCUUCCCUUCCCACCCGUAAUCAUUAAAAUCCUACUCAUUCUUUACGACCUAAUUCCAGUGUGACUUGCGACAUGAUGCCUCUCUGAUCACUUCACCCAGAAGCCAUCUUCCUUUCCUUUUACUUUUGCAGGAUUUUCUUUUGGCAUUUGCAUGCCUCUUUUUCACAUCACACCUAAUAGUGUAUUGUAGUUAUUUGUCAAUUUGUCUUUUUAUAGCUAAUAGAUUGUAAACUGCAUAUCUUUAUGUCUCCCAUAGUGCCGUAUACAUAGAAAGUACCCCUUAAAUAAAAAAAUAAAAUAAAAUUGCUACCAAGGUGUGGUAGACAUUGGGAAUGUCUUUCCAAUACCUCUUAUCCUCCUCCCCAUUGUGUAGUCACCAUUGGUGUGAGUGGCAUUGGCCUCACUCAAUUCUAGGGGUGGUCCCCAAUGGUGUAAGACACUCCCAACCCACUUGCCAAAGUGAUAGGUUUUUUUGAGCCUGAGCCAAUCGGCACAUGGUCCUGGGGGUCCAAUCAGAAUGAGGCUCAGGACUUAAGCACAAUGAUUAUGGGAAGCGACAGCCCCUCUCCCCCCCAGACUAAUUGUCAAGAAAUUCCAACUGAGUUGUUCAGUUCCAACUGAGCUGCUGUUCACAGGCAUCUUGCAACCAUGAAGAAAGCCAGCCUAGAAAGGAAUCUGGCCCACAAAGGAGGACAGGGCAGAGAGAAUCAGAGAAACAGAGCUGGGGCCCUGGUUAAACCAUACUGGAAGCCUGCUCUAACAUUCAGCCUUUCAGCCAUGUGAACCAAUAAAUGCUCUUCAUGGUUUCUCUCUUGCAACCCAAAGUAUCCGACCCAGUGCACCGGGAACGCAUCAUUGUGGAUUCACACGUGCACAUGUGCAUUUGCAUGUACGCACACACACAACCUGAAUCUUACUAGGGAGAAGGGAGAAAACACACAUCUCCAAUUCCUGGGGUGGUGGCAACAUCUCAUUUUACCAAACUGCACACUUUAAAGCUUUUCAUAACAGUUACCAAGACAUGGAACUGAUGUCUUUUGAUAAUUUCUCAUUGAUUUCUGUAUUAAAAAUGAUUUUGUAGUUUUAACCUGAAUUCUUAAGAAUAUCUGACUCUAGCAACUAGUAAUAAAUUGUGAAAUUUUUUCCUUUAAAAAAAUUAAUAUAUUGUUUGUGGCCCCUUUAAUAGUACUUAAAGUAAUAAAAUCAGCUUUUACCUUAACGUGAAGUUUUUCAACAUUUUCCUUGCAAGGUGAAAUGGGGUUCUAACAACUGGAAGGCGAUAUUGACCUUUUCUUGACUGGUUCCCUGCCUUAACCUUGUUGACAAGUUUGUUUUCAGAUUUUCCAACCUGCUGUUCACUUGCUUUCUUGGCAAGCAUC